UGUGCGGAUGCUAUAAUGCAAGUCGAGGGGUAACACAGGUAGCAAUACUGGGUGACGACCGGCGCACGGGUGCGUAACACGUAUAUAAUCUGCCCUUAUCUGGGAAAUAGCCCGGAGAAAUUCGGAUUAAUGUCCCAUAACAUUAUUGGAAGGCAUCUUUUGAUAAUUAAAGCUCAGGCGGAUAAGGAUGAAUAUGCGACUGAUUAGUUAGUUGGUGAGGUAACGGCUCACCAAGACUUCGAUCAGUAGGGGUACUGAGAGGUUAAACCCCCACACUGGUACUGAGACACGGACCAGACUCCUACGGGAGGCAGCAGUAAGGAAUAUUGGACAAUGGAGGCAACUCUGAUCCAGCCAUGCCGCGUGCAGGAAGAAGGCGCUACGCGUUGUAAACUGCUUUUAUAACAGAGAAAACCUAUGUACGUGUACGUAGUUGAUAGUAUGUUAAGAAUAAGCAUCGGCUAACUUCGUGCCAGCAGCCGCGGUAAUACGAAGGAUGCAAGCGUUAUCCGGAUUUAUUGGGUUUAAAGGGUGCGUAGGCGGUCUUAUAAGUCAGUGGUGAAAUCUUGUCGCUUAACGACAAACGUGCCAUUGAUACUGUAGGACUUGAGUACAGAUGCCGUUGGCGGAAUGUGUCAUGUAGCGGUGAAUGCAUAGAUAUGACACAGAACACCGAUUGCGAAGGCAGCUGACGAAACUGUAACUGACGCUGAUGCACGAAAGCGUGGGGAUCAAACAGGAUUAGAUACCCUGGUAGUCCACGCCCUAAACUAUGAUUACUCGCUGUCGGCGAUAUACCGUCGGUAGCUAAGCGAAAGCGUUAAGU
rnacentral:rRNA from 1 species